CGACGAUGCUGCCUAACACAACGGCGUCGGCGACCGAUAGCCGAUCUGCGGGGCGCCUCACCUCGGCGCGGUGUCUGGCGGCGUGGGCCCCUACUGCUUGGCAACGGCAGUCCACGGCAGUACGGCCGCGCCCCUCGGCCAGAGCACGGAGGAGCUACGAGAGGCGGGCUCGACCCAGCGUUCGGAGUCCAGAUCCAUGACCCACCGUGGCAGGGGCGGAUCUGGGCCCCAGGCCCCCAGGGCCCAGGCCCGGGGCGUGGCAUUUGUUUUUAGUUAUUACCUAUGCAUGUUUUUAAAUGGGCCCGGGGCUUGGCCCAAUACACAUCCAGCCAUCUAGGGCCCAGGCCAGGCAGUUGCUCCAUCAGCCCACCGCUCGCGUCUUCCGCGGCUGUCCACGAGCGCAUCAGACCACCGCUCGACUGCCCCUGCUCCCUUCGUUCCCCAAUGCCCAGACCUAGAUCGACGCAGCCACGCCCACGCAGGCAGCAGCCGCCGCCGCCCGCCGGUGAUCCCCUCCGCUCCGCACUCCCUGCUCGCCUACUCCGCCGCUCCCCACCUGCUCCUGUCCGCGCCUCCGCCUGCUCCGCCUCCGCGGUCCGCCGCCCGCCCGCGCCCUCCACCGCUCGCCCAGCCUGGGCUGGUCCCCUGCUGCUCCGGCCUCCGGUGCUCGCGGGCUCGCUGCCGGCCGCCUCGACCUCUCCUGGCUCCACGCGGCCACGCCGUCUUCCCUCAAUCCCUCUGCUGACUGCUGCCCAGAAUUGAAAUAAAAGAUGAAGAGAUAUUUUUCAUCCGUGGCCGCAACAGAAGUGUCUACACCCAGAGUUUUAGCAGGGAAUCAAGGGGCCGGGAGGACUGAAGCAACUCCAGAAAAUGAAACAGCUGGAGAAAUGGGACCACCGCCUUCAAUCUCAACUCGAGAAAGCAACAUUUUUGUUACUCCUGAUUCUGCUCGUGGUCAACUAAGGGAAGGUGAUAUUCAACCUGAUCCUGGUCGUAGGAAACCUAUUGAAAGCUUAGAUCCGGAUAUUAGAGAUGUUGCUAGAAGGAUGUAUGUAAAUAUGGGUCCAUGCCAACCAACUGGUCAUAAAUUUAAAAAAGAAACUAGAGGAAAUUCUUUGAAAAAGAGAUCCUUUCAAGCUAAAUGGUUCGAGAAGCAUUCCGAUUGAUUGGAAUAUAGUGUUGCUAAGGAGGCAACCUUUUGUUUAUAUUGCUUUCUUUUUAAGCAACCUAGAAAAGAAAACUAUGGUGUUGAGGCAUUCACAACAGUAGGGUUUAUAAAUUGGAAGGAUGGACUUAGUAUUAUUGAUACACAUGUUGGUAGACAUGAUAGUGCUCACAAUAAAGCUAGACAACAAUAUGUGGCUUUCAAAAAUCAAAGGCAAUCUGUUGUAAAUGUGAUGGAUCGUGGCACCAUAAAGACCCAAGAAGAAUAUAGAGCUCGUCUUAUCAUUAUUUUGGGUGUUAUAAGAUUUCUUCUAUUACAAGCUCUUACUUUUCGGGGUCAUGAUGAGAGCUCGAGCUCAUAGAGCGGCUUCUCUAAAAGCAGCUUUGGAUGGUAUGUUUCUUAAACAUGGUUUGUCUAUGUCUAAAUUGAGAGGGCAAGGGUACGAUGGAGCUUCUAACAUGAGAGUGCAAUUUUGGACGUUAAGUUUUUCUCUCGUGACAAAAAAAAAAUUGGGCCCGGGGCUUGCUCCAAUCCUGGAUCCGCCACUGCACCGUGGAUGUUGGUUGCUGCCUGCCCUCUACCACCAUAGGUCAUCGGCCACCUCGAGUUUUCCCCAUCGGUCGUCGACUACGCUGCUCCGACUCGUGCCGUCCCCUCCUCCUUCCCUUGUGUACCCUCAACAAUGGCUAGCGACUGGAAUAGUGGCAGGACAGGCGGCGAUAUCCUCCCUACAGCUCUACCGCCAUGGAUGCGCCACAGAUUCACAUGGGUUGACCGUUUCUGCCAUGGAUCUGACUCAUGGUGGACUGCAUCGACCAUCGUGACCUUCGUCCCACAGCUCACCGAUGACAAAAUUGUAUGGCCCUCGAUAUGUGCAAAGCUUUCAGAGGAGCUGCAACACACAAGAAGCAAAGUGAGUGCCCUUGCUUAUGAGAAGGCAAGCUACUAAAACGCACAAAUGUGAGAACUUCUGAUCUAUUGGGAAUGUUUAACUACAUUUUGAUUCAAUAAAAUCUGAACAUGAUCAAGAGACCUGAGAUGCAAACUUCUGUUCCUGAAUCAUGGAGUUACACAAGAGAAUGAUAUCAGUCUACAUUAGCAAGAGGUUACAGGCAAUGGACUUUCCCUGUAUAUUUUCAUUUGCAAUAUUUCGUCUUAUUAUUGUAUAUUGAACCUCCUGCCCACUACUAUUACAGAUUAUAUCUUAAGAUGUGUAUAUAGAGAGAAUGGGAGAUAAAAUAAUGUCUUUUUUAUUUUUUUACUCAGUAAGUCUAUGUUCUGAAUUUAUAAGUUAGUAGAGUAUUGAUGUGCUGCAUAAUUUUGGACUCCACAUGCUUUUCUGGAGAUUAUUAGGAGCAGCACAGUACCUGAACUUUAGAGAACCUGUUGUAAAAAAUUAGAAAUUGGCACCUAGGCUCAACACAGACAGUGUUAUGAGGGUGUCUCACUAUUUUAGAUUUUCGUAAUAUAACUUUUAGAAAGGAUACAGAUUAAAAAUAAAUUGGGAUACCCUUGCAUCGUUGUCGUGAUACCAUCAUGGUAUGAAAUAAUGCAAACUAUCAAGAAUCCUCUCAGAAUCUGCUCCAAAGUACAUGUUUUGUUAUUUUUCCUACAUGUGUGCUUAUUCCUGAAGUACAGAAAGUAGUCUAUAUUAUUGUCGAGUUGGUUAUGUAGCAAUGCACUUAGAAUCAUAAUACAAAUUCAGUUUUUGGUCAUACCAAUUCACAAGCUAUAUGUAAAUAGAUUGGUGGAUAUUUCUACAGUCAUUUGGAUAAAUAUAUAUCCUUUUGCCUUCUUUCUUUCUUUCUUACCCAAAGCAAUGAAACAAAACUAUUUAUUGUCCACUGUUCUUUCCUUUUUGUUUCAUUGCUUGCUAUUUUGUUAGGGUUUUUUCUACCAGCUUUCAGCGUGAUUGAAGGAAGCACAGACAAAGUAACAGAGUUUGGUAGACAUGGUGUACUUUCCCAAUGGAAGUUAUUUUGUUAUACCCUUCCAUGUUGUGCUGAAUGUAUGAGCUUUAAAUAACAAUGAACUUUACAUUGUAGAUAUUGAAAAUCUUUUUUAGCAUGAUGCCGCUGCUGAUGAUAAUUAUUAGAAUGCGACUGAUGCUGCGGCUGUUUUUUUUUUCACUAUCAAAUUACUUGGAAAAGCCUUGCAUUGUUGUUGGUUUCAUUGCUACAGAUCUAAGGUGACAAGAGAUAAGGAGGGAGGCAGUGGAUGGCAAUUAAUCUGGCCAGCAGCAUCAGCGCGGCGGACAGCCUGGGCGACGUAAUGUGCAUAUGGUUUUGGAAGUUUGAUCUUAGCCUAUUUUUAAUCUACAAAAUUAGUGGAUUUUGCCGCAAGGAAAAAGUUGUUAAUUUUA